rnacentral:rRNA from 1 species
GUGGGGAAUAUUGGACAAUGGGCGCAAGCCUGAUCCAGCAAUGCCGCGUGGGUGAAGAAGGCCUUCGGGUUGUAAACUGCUUUUGUACGGAACGAAACGGUCCGGGUUAAUACCCUGGGCUAAUGACGGUACCGUAAGAAUAAGCACCGGCUAACUACGUGCCAGCAGCCGCGGUAAUACGUAGGGUGCAAGCGUUAAUCGGAAUUACUGGGCGUAAAGCGUGCGCAGGCGGUUUUGUAAGACAGGCGUGAAAUCCCCGGGCUCAACCUGGGAAUUGCGCUUGUGACUGCAAGGCUGGAGUGUGGCAGAGGGGGAUGGAAUUCCGCGUGUAGCAGUGAAAUGCGUAGAGAUGCGGAGGAACACCGAUGGCGAAGGCAGCCUCCUGGGAUAACACUGACGCUCAGGCACGAAAGCGUGGGGAGCAAACAGGAUUAGAUACCCUUGUAGUCC